AUGAUUGGUUGGUAAUAAGUAAAUGUAUGCCGGCCAUUACUCUUUCUCGAUUCCUCUUUCUCAGUAUCGCGAACAGUUUCCCUCAAAUUUUUCUCACCAAGCAUUCCUCGCUCUCUCUUCCCUUCUCUUCGCCCUCACUCUUCUUCCUCCGAACCCCUCUUUCCCUCUGCUAUCGACGGUUGCGGCGACGGCGUUCGUGGCGGCUGCGGCCACACCGUUCCCUUCCCCGAUGAACACGCCUCUGUCGCAGCGGUGAUCCAGGCCCCAUAGAUUGAAGGAACUCGCCGUUACCCGAUUCCACUAUUGCACUGGGAUUUUGGCUCUGGAUGGAAAAUCAGUCAGUGUAGACAUGAAGCAGAAAGGGUUCUUGGUGAACUAGCCUCCUUGUGCAGCGUAGCUAAAAUGAUAAGUACCUUAGGUAUUGGCAAAGGAAGCCAGAAACAGAGCUUAGAGGUGGUCUAAAUGAGGAUUCUUCAACCUCACCUUUACCCAGAGUUUUUAAGGUGGCUGUAAUAUUUUUUUACCAAGACAUAAAGAAGAGAUUGCCAACAGUGAGGGUUCCCGAAUUCAUGCUUCUAUGUGAAAGACAAUCGUGUACAAGUUUUAUGUUGGGAAUAUUUUUGGAAAAUACAAAACAACUAGUCAUCAAUACAAGUUAUCAUUUGAACUUGACACAAUGAUUAUCUCCGUGACUGUGAAUCGAGUUCCCCUUUCUUCGUUCACAUUCUCGAGUUUGAAUGAUAUUUUACCUGAUGGAUUUUAUCAUAAUUAUUUAGUUGUGGCAGAAGGCUCGAGAGGGUUGACGAGGGAGGCCAUUAGGAGAAAUCUAAUCACAAGAUAUAAGCAGGGGCGGAUCUACCUUGUGUUCAAAAAAAAAUUGCCCUUAUUUUCCUAUAUAAUUUUUUUUGAACCCUCUGAAAAUUUUAAAUUAUACUAGUAGACUAAGUUUUGCACCUAUUUGCACCAAAAAUCCACCUAUUUGUAUCAACUAUGACUUGU